UUCCAGACUCCUACGGGAGGCAGCAGUGGGGAAUAUUGCACAAUGGGGGAAACCCUGAUGCAGCGACGCCGCGUGAGCGAUGAAGUAUUUCGGUAUGUAAAGCUCUAUCAGCAGGGAAGAAAAUGACGGUACCUGACUAAGAAGCCCCGGCUAACUACGUGCCAGCAGCCGCGGUAAUACGUAGGGGGCAAGCGUUAUCCGGAUUUACUGGGUGUAAAGGGAGCGUAGACGGCUGUGCAAGCCAGAUGUGAAAGCCCGGGGCUCAACCCCGGGACUGCAUUUGGAACUGCGUGGCUUGAGUGUCGGAGAGGCAGGCGGAAUUCCUAGUGUAGCGGUGAAAUGCGUAGAUAUUAGGAGGAACACCAGUGGCGAAGGCGGCUUACUGGACUGUAACUGACGUUGAGGCUCGAAAGCGUGGGGAGCAAACAGGAUUAGAUACCCCCGUAC
rnacentral:rRNA from 1 species